CUGUGCAAAGGUAGCAUAAUCAUUAGUUUUUUAAUUGAAAGCUGGAAUGAAUGGUUUAAUAAGAAAAAUUCUGUCUCAAUUUUAAUUUUUGAAUUUUAUUUUUAAGUUAAAAAGCUUAAAUUUGUUAAAAAGACGAGAAGACCCUAUAGAGUUUAAUAGUAAUAAUUUAAUUUUUAUUAAGAUUUAAAUUUAAAAUUAUAUUAUAUUAUUUUGUUGGGGUGAUAUAAAAAUUUAUUUAAUUUUUUAUUUAUUAAAUCAUAGAUUUAUGUAUAAUUGUUCUUAAUUUUUGGAUUGAAAGAUAAAUUACCUUAGGGAUAACAGCGUAAUUUUUCUUAAGAGUUCUUAUCGAAAGAAAGGAUUGCGACCUCGAUGUUGGAUUAAAAUAUAAUUUUGGCGUAGAAGUUAAAAAUUUAGGUCUGUUCGACCUUUAAAAUU
rnacentral:rRNA from 1 species